CCCUGCGCGGUUGCUCUUUUCCCUUUUUCUAUUUCGCGAGCGUGGGUUUGCAAUUCCCCGCGCCGCCGUGCGUCCCCGGCAAUGGGAAGCUCACUCUGAUGAUCGCUGGUCGGCUCCUCUCACUCGCAGCCAUCUCUCUCUCCGCCACCCGUCCUCAUUUGCCCCCGAACACUGUGACACCAUCUGCUGCGCACGCACCCUUUCUCAAUGGCCGAAGCGAAGAGGGGGAUGGGAAGGAUCCGUGCAGAGAAAAGUCUUCGUGAUAAUGGCUUCUAGCCUUCUGGAAUAUUUACCACCUGCGGCCAAGCGUGUGAAAAUUGCUCGGAAAGAUUGGCAAGCUGAAUGACCGAAGGGGAUAAGAUCAUUGACCGUGUGCGCAAGUCUGGUUGCUCUCUCAGGUGUCCCUAUCAGGGCUUAGAAAGGACGUGUUUGGACUUGGACGAACUCAAGGAGAACUACAUAAUGACGAUUUAGUGACGGGGUUUUUUUAAGAAGGGUUUAGUGAUGACUUGUUACAUGCAGCUUUCGGCUCCAGGACUUGGGUUUGGUAAGCUGUUUCUCUGUUAAGUCUGCUAUUGGGGGUACAGAUCCAAUGCACCGAAUGAUCAACAGAACCAUAAACGUCGGGCUGGUUUGGUAACUUAGCCAGACCUGUGGGCAGCCCAUCCCCUGAGGCGUUUUAUUGGGCCUCACCUUUUUUUCCCCCA
rnacentral:misc_RNA from 1 species